rnacentral:rRNA from 1 species
UCAACCAAAAGUUAAACAAUUACGAAUACAUAAACAAUUAGUUGAAAAUAAAAGUGUCUUGUCAUCAUUCUAUAUAGUAUUCUGCAUGAGGAGACACAAAUUUUAUUACUAUACGCCAAAUGUACCAAUUAACAAUGCACAUUGAGCGAACGCGAUACGUAAUAUCUACUACACCUACCUGCUACAGCAACCGCAACCCAAUGCACUUGCCCCCGUACGUAAUGCGACGCACGAAUUUCGGUUUCGCUAAACUAAAUCGCACUAAGAUUAACUAACUCCUCCAUUUUUCCUUUGCGGUAACGAAGAACGUUAUAAUCGCAACGGAGAUGCCGAACAACGUACGCGGACGCUCCUCACGACGGCUACACGGCGACCGACUGUGGCGGUUGCUCCUUUCCAACCAAUCCGCUCACAAGACUCUCACACCGAUUCGAUGCACGUGCAGUUCUUUAGGCGGCUCGGUCACAUCGAACUCGUACGAGUACGCACGACAUCAUCACCGUCAUCAUCCUCAUCAUCGGCAAGAAAGAAACAUACGUAUUAUUAUGCGUUCAUGUUUACGUGCUCGGUUAAAUUAUUACUUGCAUAUUAUAAUUAUUAUUAUAUCUCUUACAAAAUAAUACGUACGAUAUUCUGACUCGAUCGAAAUAAUUUGAUUUUUUUCGGCGACCAUUCGUACGAAAAGCACUGUCUAUUUAUUUUAUUUAUUGUCUACCGGUGUUAUUUCAAAGCGCGGCGCUCACACACGUCAUACAAAUUAACAAUCUAGGUACAAUAAAUUACACUCACGUGACAAAUGAACUUUAACAAAAUGACAAACAUAAUAUGUAAUAAUAUAAUACAUAUUAACUUUUUCAUCGUCCAAAGUAAUCACGGGGUGUCGUCGUACGCCUUCCUUAUUAAUAACAUUUUUUAUUUGCUGCUUUGAAUUCCCUCGACUUUAGUUUUCGUGUAACUACAAUUUUUUUUCAGUUUAGUCCUACAUAACUCGACAGACGAUAUUACUUUUAUAUAUCUACGCACGUCGUCGUUACGUUCACCAAGUAUCUCGCUCAAGAGUAUCAUAUUAUUAUGUACGUGUGGCACUGUGAUUAUCAUAAAUGUGAUUAUAAGGUGGACACUCGCACAUUAAUAAUACCGGUCCGAUUUAUGGUACCAAAAAUGUGCCUAGCUCCUUAAAAUAUUCUCUCUCCGUGUUUACUAGUUCACGCGAAAAAGUCGCAAAUACAAACGCUGGAGUAUUCCAAUACGAAGAAACGCCUAACUAAAUUCUAUAUUUAACUCGUCGUUUCCUUCAACCACAUACGGAAAACUCUGAUGCACGUGUCUCUAUUUUUUGUCGUCGUCAGCGCACACUCGCAUCCCAUGAUACCAAUGUGAAAUUUGAUAAUCGAAAUGCGCAAAUCUUGCCGAUUUCAUGUAUGAACAAGAAGGCUAUGAGUGCUAUGACCUACGAGUAUUAAUUAACUUUUUUAUCUCUACAUUUAAAUAUAUCUUUUUACUUUUGUUUAGUUUCUUCGGUUAGUUCUCGAUUCCGUGUAAUUCAGAAUCUUUGUUUUUAAUUUGU